GCCAGAGUGCCAUAGUGGUCUGAGAGUUGGAUUACAACUCUGGAGAUCAGGGUUCAGAUCCCAGCUUGGACA